AAUGAAUAAUGAUAUGACUGAGUGGCGGACGGGUGAGUAACGCGUGAGGAACCUGCCUUUCAGUGGGGGACAACAGUUGGAAACGACUGCUAAUACCGCAUGAUGUAUCUGGAAGGCAUCUUUCGGAUACCAAAGAUUUAUCGCUGUGGGAUGGGCUCAUGUCUGAUUAGUUAGUUGGUGGGGUAACGGCCUACCAAGUCGACGAUCAGUAGCCGGACUGAGAGGUUGAACGGCCACAUUGGGACUGAGAUACGGCCCAGACUCC
rnacentral:rRNA from 1 species